rnacentral:rRNA from 1 species
UACGUAGGGGGCAAGCGUUGUCCGGAUUUACUGGGCGUAAAGAGCGUGUAGGCGGCCAAGCAGGUCCGUUGUGAAAACUGGAGGCUUAACCUCCAGACGUCGACGGAAACCGCGUGGCUAGAGUCCGGAAGAGGAGAGUGGAAUUCCUGGUGUAGCGGUGAAAUGCGCAGAUAUCAGGAAGAACACCGAUGGCGAAGGCAGGUCUCUGGGCCGAUACUGACGCUGAGGAGCGAAAGCGUGGGGAGCGAACAGG